GACGAACGCUGGCGGCGUGCUUAACACAUGCAGGUCGAACGGAAAGGCCCUGCUUUUGUGGGGUGCUCGAGUGGCGAACGGGUGAGUAACACGUGAGUAACCUGCCCUUGACUUUGGGAUAACUUCAGGAAACUGGGGCUAAUACCGGAUAGGAGCUCCUGCUGCAUGGUGGGGGUUGGAAAGUUUCGGCGGUUGGGGAUGGACUCGCGGCUUAUCAGCUUGUUGGUGGGGUAGUGGCUUACCAAGGCUUUGACGGGUAGCCGGCCUGAGAGGGUGACCGGCCCCAUUGGGACUGAGAUACGGCCCAGACUCCUACGGGAGGCAGCAGUGGGGAAUAUUGCACAAUGGGCGGAAGCCUGAUGCAGCAACGCCGCGUGCGUGAUGACGGCCUUCGGGUUGUAAACCGCUUUCGCCUGUGACGAAGCGUGAGUGACGGUAAUGGGUAAAGAAGCACCGGCUAACUACGUG
rnacentral:rRNA from 1 species